rnacentral:rRNA from 1 species
GACGAACGCUGGCGGCGUGCUUAACACAUGCAAGUCGAGCGGUAAGGCUCCUUCGGGAGUACACGAGCGGCGAACGGGUGAGUAACACGUGAGUAAUCUGCCCUUCACUUCGGGAUAACCACCGGAAACGGUGGCUAAUACCGAAUACGACCAGUCCUUGCAUGAGGUGCUGGUGGAAAGUUUUAUCGGUGGAGGAUGUGCUCGCGGCCUAUCAGCUUGUUGGUGAGGUAACGGCUCACCAAGGCUUCGACGGGUAGCCGGCCUGAGAGGGUGACCGGCCACACUGGGACUGAGACACGGCCCAGACUCCUACGGGAGGCAGCAGUGGGGAAUAUUGGACAAUGGGCGAAAGCCUGAUCCAGCAACGCCGCGUGAGGGAUGACGGCCUUCGGGUUGUAACCUCUUUCAGUAUCGACGAAGCGCCCUGUCGGGUGGUGACGGUAGAUACAGAAGAAGGACCGGCCAACUACAUGCCAGCAGCCGCGGUGAUACGUAGGGUCCGAGCGUUGUCCGGAAUUAUUGGGCGUAAAGGGCUCGUAGGCGGUUUGUUGCGUCGGAAGUGAAAUCUUACAGCUUAACUGUGAACUUGCUUUCGAUACGGGCAGACUUGAGGCAUUCAGGGGAGAACGGAAUUCCUGGUGUAGCGGUGAAAUGCGCAGAUAUCAGGAGGAACACCGGUGGCGAAGGCGGUUCUCUGGGAAUGUACUGACGCUGAGGAGCGAAAGUGUGGGGAGCGAACAGGAUUAGAUACCCUGGUAGUCCACACCGUAAACGUUGGGCGCUAGGUGUGGGGCCUAUUCCAUGGGUUCCGUGCCGCAGCUAACGCAUUAAGCGCCC